rnacentral:rRNA from 1 species
UACGUAGGGUGCGAGCGUUGUCCGGAAUUAUUGGGCGUAAAGGGCUCGUAGGCGGUCUGUCGCGUCGGGAGUGAAAACUCAGGGCUUAACCCUGAGCCUGCUUCCGAUACGGGCAGACUAGAGGUAUGCAGGGGAGAACGGAAUUCCUGGUGUAGCAGGUGGAAAUGCGCGAUAUCAGGAGGAACACCGAUGGCGAAGGCAGGUCUCUGGGCUGACACUGACGCUCAUGCACGAAAGCGUGGGGAGCAAACAGG